CGCCUACGGGGGGCAGCAGUGGGGAAUAUUGCACAAUGGGGGAAACCCUGAUGCAGCAACGCCGCGUGGGUGAAGAAGUAUUUCGGUAUGUAAAGCCCUAUCAGCAGGGAAGAGAAUGACGGUACCUGACUAAGAAGCCCCGGCUAACUACGUGCCAGCAGCCGCGGUAAUACGUAGGGAGCAAGCGUUAUCCGGAUUUACUGGGUGUAAAGGGCGUGUAGGCGGGCUUGUAAGUCAGAAGUGAAAUCUGGGGGCUUAACCCCCAAACUGCUUUUGAAACUGCGGGUCUUGAGUGAUGGAG
rnacentral:rRNA from 1 species